UUUCACUCUACUGCUAGGGUUUUCUUUGAUCUCUCUUCACACACGAAACACUACCGCCGUCAACGAAACAAAACAUUGCCACCGUCUACGAACCACCAUCGGCACCGAUCAUGUAUGAGUAUGCUCAUUGCAGAUGUUAAAGAAAGUUGGCAAAUGACUUAGUUUUAUAGAAACAAGGAUACACAUCACUUCCAGGUGAACAAAUUAAUCCUCUUAGAGAGUCGUCUGAAUUAAUUUUGCAGAGUGCGUUGCAGGCUUGGUGGAAAAUUUUGUAGAACUUAUCAUAUGAGAUUGUUGUAUAAAUUGUUGUUAG